rnacentral:rRNA from 1 species
AUUGAACGCUGGCGGCAGGCCUAACACAUGCAAGUCGAGCGGAUGAAGGGAGCUUGCUCCUGGAUUCAGCGGCGGACGGGUGAGUAAUGCCUAGGAAUCUGCCUGGUAGUGGGGGAUAACGUCCGGAAACGGGCGCUAAUACCGCAUACGUCCUGAGGGAGAAAGUGGGGGAUCUUCGGACCGCACGCUAUCAGAUGAGCCUAGGUCGGAUUAGCUAGUUGGUGGGGUAAAGGCCUACCAAGGCGACGAUCCGUAACUGGUCUGAGAGGAUGAUCAGUCACACUGGAACUGAGACACGGUCCAGACUCCUACGGGAGGCAGCAGUGGGGAAUAUUGGACAAUGGGCGAAAGCCUGAUCCAGCCAUGCCGCGUGUGUGAAGAAGGUCUUCGGAUUGUAAAGCACUUUAAGUUGGGAGGAAGGGCAGUAAGUUAAUACCUUGCUGUUUUGACGUUACCAACAGAAUAAGCACCGGCUAACUACGUG